rnacentral:rRNA from 1 species
CAGCAGCCACGGUAAUACGUAGGGUGCAAGCGUUAAUUGGAAUUACUGGGCGUAAAGCGUGCGCAGGCGGUUAUAUAAGACAGAUGUGAAAUCCCCGGGCUCAACCUGGGAACUGCAUUUGUGACUGUAUAGCUAGAGUACGGCAGAGGGGGAUGGAAUUCCGCGUGUAGCAGUGAAAUGCGUAGAUAUGCGGAGGAACACCGAUGGCGAAGGCAAUCCCCUGGGCCUGUACUGACGCUCAUGCACGAAAGCGUGGGGAGCAAACAGGAUUAGAUACCCGCGUAGUCCCUGUCUCUUAUAC